GCGGUUAUGGUCCAAUGGUAGAAUCCUUGCUUGCCAUGCAAGGGACACGAGUUCGAUUCUCGUUAACCGCUCCA
rnacentral:tRNA from 1 species